ensembl:rRNA 5S_rRNA 5S ribosomal RNA
GCUUACGGCCAUACCACCCUGAGCACGCCCGAUCUCGUCUGAUCUCAAAAGCUAAGCAGGGUCGGCCCUUGUUAGUACUUGGAUGGGAGACCGCCUGGGAAUACCAGGUGCUGUAAGCU